rnacentral:rRNA from 1 species
AACGAACGCUGGCGGCGUACUUAACACAUGCAAGUCGGACGAGAAAGGAGACUUCGGUCUCUGAGUACAGUGGCGUACGGGUGCGUAACACGUAAGUAAUCUGCCCCGAACUCCAGGAUAACCCUCCGAAAGGAGGGCUAACACUGGAGUAGGGUCCCCGAGGUGUAGGCUGCGGGGGGAAAACGGGCCUCUGUUUCAUGCUCGUGGUUCGGGAUGAGCUUGCGGCCCAUUAGCUUGUUGGUAGGGUAAUGGCUUACCAAGGCUGCGAUGGGUAGCUGGUCUGAGAGGAUGAUCAGCCACACUGGCACUGAGACACGGGCCAGACUCCUACGGGAGGCAGCAGUGGGGAAUUUUGCGCAAUGGGCGAAAGCCUGACGCAGUAACGCCGCGUGGAGGAUGAAGGCCUUCGGGUUGUAAACUCCUGUCAGGGGGAACGACGGAGAAAGGGUGACAAAUCCUUUCCUCCAGACGGUACCUCCAAAGGAAGCCCCGGCUAAUUCCGUGCCAGCAGCCGCGGUAA